UAACAAAAAAUUCUGCAUCAUUAAAAUUCUGCAUUAACAAAAAUUCCACAUCAAAUACAAUGAAAAUUCUGCAUAAAAUCCAAAUGAAAAUUCUGCAUAAAUAACAACCUGCAUAAUUUCACAAUCCAAUAACAGAAAAAAUAACUUCCUAACAAACUUCUAAUCCCUCUCACAACUCUAUAAAUUCUCCUUCUUCCCUCUCUCAAAUUCUUCUUCCAGAUUCUUCUUCUUCCUCUCUUCAAUCACCUUCACCAAACUCCAUAGCCAAACCUUCAACCACCGUAACCGUAACCGUUUUUUUCAAUUCACAAUCACCUUCAUCAAACCUCCAUUUCCAAUUCACAACAAACUCCACCUUCACAUCACAACCGUAUAAUUCAAAAAAGGAGA
rnacentral:lncRNA from 1 species